rnacentral:rRNA from 1 species
CCUACGGGAGGCAGCAGUGAGGAAUAUUGGUCAAUGGGCUUACGCCUGAACCAGCCAAGUCGCGUGAGGGAAGACUGCCCUAUGGGUUGUAAACCUCUUUUGUCAGGGAGCAACGCCGGCUACGUGUAGCCGGACUGAGAGUACCUGAAGAAAAAGCAUCGGCUAACUCCGUGCCAGCAGCCGCGGUAAUACGGAGGAUGCGAGCGUUAUCCGGAUUUAUUGGGUUUAAAGGGUGCGUAGGCGGAAUGCCAAGUCAGCGGUAAAAUCGCGGGGCACAACCUCGCUCCGCCGUUGAAACUGGCGGUCUUGAGUGGAGGAGAGGUAUGCGGAAUGCGUGGUGUAGCGGUGAAAUGCAUAGAUAUCACGAAGAACUCCGAUUGCGAAGGCAGCAUACCGGCGCCCAACUGACGCUGAAGCACGAAAGCGUGGGUAUCGAACAGGAUUAGAUACCCCAGUAGUC